rnacentral:rRNA from 1 species
ACUUUGGAGAGUUUGAUCCUGGCUCAGAGUGAACGCUGGCGGCGUGGAUUAGGCAUGCAAGUCGAGCGAUCCUUGCUGGACUUUUAUUGGAGUGCUUGCACAAAGAUAAAAGACUGGCGCUGGAUAGCGG